rnacentral:rRNA from 1 species
GUAGGUGGCAAGCGUUGUCCGGAAUUAUUGAACGUAAAGCGCGCGCAGGCGGUUCUUUAAGUCUGAUGUGAAAGCCCACGGCUCAACCGUGGAGGGUCAUUGGAAACUGGAGAACUUGAGUACAGAAGAGGAAAGCGGAAUUCCACGUGUAGCGGUGAAAUGCGUAGAGAUGUGGAGGAACACCAGUGGCGAAGGCGGCUUUCUGGUCUGUAACUGACGCUGAGGCGCGAAAGCGUGGGGAGCAAACAGGAUUAGAUACCCUGGUAGUCCACGCCGUAAACGAUGAGUGCUAAGUGUUAGGGGGUUUCCGCCCCCUUAGUGCUGCAGCUAACGCAUUGAGCACUCCGCCUGGGAGUACGGCCGCAAGGCUG